rnacentral:rRNA from 1 species
UACGGAGGAUGCGAGCGUUAUCCGGAUUUAUUGGGUUUAAAGGGUGCGUAGGCGGGCUUUUAAGUCCGCGGUAAAAAUUCGGGGCUCAACCCCGUCCGGCCGUUGAAACUGGGGGUCUUGAGUGGGCGAGAAGAAGGCGGAAUGCGUGGUGUAGCGGUGAAAUGCAUAGAUAUCACGCAGAACCCCGAUUGCGAAGGCAGCCUUCCGGCGCCCUACUGACGCUGAGGCACGAAAGUGCGGGGAUCGAACAGG